GAUGAACGCUAGCGGCAGGCCUAACACAUGCAAGUCGAGGGAGAAGCCCUUCGGGGCAGAAACCGGCGCACGGGUGCGUAACGCGUAUGCAACCUACCUUUCACAGGGGGAUAGCCCGAAGAAAUUCGGAUUAAUACCCCAUAAUAUUAUUGGAUGGCAUCAUUUGAUAAUUAAAAUUACGAUGGUGAAAGAUGGGCAUGCGUCCUAUUAGCUAGUUGGAGUGGUAACGGCACCCCAAGGCUACGAUAGGUAGGGGUCCUGAGAGGGAGAUCCCCCACACUGGUACUGAGACAGGGACCAGACUCCUACGGGAGGCAGCAGUGAGGAAUAUUGGUCAAUGGUCGGAAGACUGAACCAGCCAUGCCGCGUGCAGGAAGAAUGCCUUAUGGGUUGUAAACUGCUUUUAUAUGGGAAGAAUAAGGAGUACGUGUACUUUGAUGACGGUACCAUAUGAAUAAGCAUCGG
rnacentral:rRNA from 1 species